CUGAUUUGGAUGAGAGCAAGCAAUCUGGGCAGGAUUUUCUCUGGUCUUGCUAGCAGGCCCACUGAUUUGGCAGAUGGAAAGAAGGAAGCUUCAUUGGGCAAUCUCUAAAACACAAGGAAACUUAGAUGAAGAGAAAAUCAAGACCUAUAAAAGAGGAGAGACUGUUCCCAAUGGACAUCAAGGAGAAAAGAGGUACCUCUUGAACCCUUAAGUCACACACAAAAGAACAUCUGGAAGAAAAACUCAAGAUCAACUAGAGGAGGGAGUAUACCAUUUUUGAUUAAUCCUAAAAAGGAGUUUAGCUUGGAUCUACAAUAUGAAUAAGAACCAAAACAGGGACUCCACUAUCCUACAGGUGCUUAUAGCCAUCAGAGUUCUCUCUGUUACUCCAUUCACCAGACAUGUGAUUGUGUCUGUAACCUGUGUGAUCAGCACACCUGAACCCAAUGUCCAGUGACUGUGGAGGAUUCUUCAAUCUUCCCCUUCUCAGCUGUCUGACCCCCAUUCUGUCUAUGAGGUA
rnacentral:lncRNA from 1 species